rnacentral:rRNA from 1 species
GACGAACGCUGGCGGCGUGCUUAACACAUGCAAGUCGAACGGAAAGGCCUGCUUUCCCUUGUGGAUUGCGGGUACUCGAGUGGCGAACGGGUGAGUAACACGUGAGUUAUCUUCCCCCAACUUGUGUAUAAGCCUGGGAUACUGGGUCUAAUUCCCGAUAGUACUGCAGGGUGGUGCCUGUGGUGGAAACCGAUUUUCUAGUGGUUGCGGAUGAGCUCGCGGCCUUUCAGCUUGUUGGUGGGGUAAUGGCCUACCAAGGCGGGGACGGGGAGCCGGCGUGAGAUGGGGGCCAGCCGAAUUGAGACAGAGACACGGCCCAGACGCGUAGGGGAGGCAGCAGUGGUGAGUCAAGCAGAGUGAGCGGGAGCCAGAUGCAGCGACGCCGCGUGGGAGAUGACGGCGUUGGGGUUGUAAACUGCUGUCGAACGAGAGGAAGCCACCUGGUUGGAAGGGUGGUGACGGUAGUGGUAGAAGAAGCACCGGCUAACUACGUG